rnacentral:lncRNA from 1 species
AUAGAAUUUCGCACUGCAGACGUCGUUUAAAAAAUGUUAAGACAUUCAGGCCUGUGUUCCUGUUCAUUAUUCUCUGCUGAAACCUAAUAUUAGUAACAGCAUGUACAGAGGACCUGGACCAUGAAUUAAAAAUGAAGUACUUGUACUGGAAAAUACGUCUCGGUAUUUGGAAGACCACCCAAAAACAACAGGAAGCAUGCUUUUUGAGUGAACAAGAGGAAUUUGCCACUGGCUUCAAGGACACUUGGAAUAAGAUGACCAGUAUUUCCUGCGGGAGUUUCAAAUGGCAUCAGGUGCAGUGGCUCCAGGCAACCUGGAAGCAUUCAUCAUCAUUUAUGGUCUACUCUUGAUUCUGUGAGGAGAUGAUUCACUUAGGCUUCCUACAGGCCAGGCCCAAAGAGGUGGCAGGCUACCAUGAGGACAACAAAGCCUAAAAGUCAUCCAGGUGGGACAUUGUGAACUACAGAACCUAUGUAUGAGGUAGAUUGCAAGUAUCUCCGGUCACAUUCACAAGCCAAUAAAAACAAUGCUGUCCUCCAUGAGAACAAAUCUAAUUAGAACAAAUCCCAGUCCUUUACAAAUACUGUAGACUGAAAUGCUUGUUUUAAAGAUAAAGACAUUUGGCCAGGAGCGGUGGCUAAUGCCUGUAAUCCCAGC